CGUGAGCGGCGGACGGGUGAGUAACGCGUGGGUAACCUGCCUCAUACAGGGGGAUAACAGUUGGAAACGGCUGCUAAUACCGCAUAAGCGCACAGUACCGCAUGGUACGGUGUGAAAAACUCCGGUGGUAUGAGAUGGACCCGCGUCUGAUUAGGUAGUUGGUGGGGUAACGGCCUACCAAGCCGACGAUCAGUAGCCGACCUGAGAGGGUGACCGGCCACAUUGGGACUGAGGCACGGCCCAA
rnacentral:rRNA from 1 species